rnacentral:rRNA from 1 species
AGUGAACGCUGGCGGUAGGCCUAACACAUGCAAGUCGAACGGCAGCACAGUAAGAGCUUGCUCUUACGGGUGGCGAGUGGCGGACGGGUGAGGAAUACAUCGGAAUCUACUUUUUCGUGGGGGAUAACGUAGGGAAACUUACGCUAAUACCGCAUACGACCUACGGGUGAAAGCAGGGGAUCUUCGGACCUUGCGCGAUUGAAUGAGCCGAUGUCGGAUUAGCUAGUUGGCGGGGUAAAGGCCCACCAAGGCGACGAUCCGUAGCUGGUCUGAGAGGAUGAUCAGCGACACUGGAACUGAGACACGGUCCAGACUCCUACGGGAGGCAGCAGUGUGGAAUAUUGGACAAUGGGCGCAAGCCUGAUCCAGCCAUACCGCGUGGGUGAAGAAGGCCUUCGGGUUGUAAAGCCCUUUUGUUGGGAAAGAAAAGCAGCAGGUUAAUACCCCGCUGUUCUGACGGUACCCAAAGAAUAAGCACCGGCUAACUUCGUG